rnacentral:rRNA from 1 species
UACGAAGGGGGCUAGCGUUGUUCGGAAUUACUGGGCGUAAAGCGCACGUAGGCGGAAUGUUAAGUCAGGGGUGAAAUCCCGGGGCUCAACCCCGGAACUGCCUUUGAUACUGGCAUUCUCGAGUCCGGAAGAGGUGAGUGGAAUUCCGAGUGUAGAGGUGAAAUUCGUAGAUAUUCGGAGGAACACCAGUGGCGAAGGCGGCUCACUGGUCCGGUAUGACGCUGAGGUGCGAAAGCGUGGGGAGCAAACAGG